AUACGGGGGGUGCAAGCGUUAUUCGGAUUUAUUGGGCGUAAAGGGCGCGUAGGCGGCUUGGUAAGUCAGAUGUGAAAGCCCGGGGCUCAACCCCGGAAGUGCAUUUGAAACUAUCAGGCUUGAGUAUGUGAGAGGGAAGUGGAAUUCCUGGUGUAGAGGUGAAAUUCGUAGAUAUCAGGAGGAACACCGGUGGCGAAGGCGACUUCCUGGACCAAUACUGACGCUGAGGCGCGAAGGCGUGGGGAGCAAACAGAAUUAGAAACCCCAGUAGUCC
rnacentral:rRNA from 1 species